rnacentral:rRNA from 1 species
GUCGAGCGGUAACAGGAAGAAGCUUGCUUCUUUGCUGACGAGCGGCGGACGGGUGAGUAAUGCUUGGGAACUUGCCUUUGGGUGGGGGAUAACCAUGGGAAACUGUGGCUAAUACCGCAUAAUAUGUACGCAUCAAAGUGGGGGAUCUUCGGACCUCACGCCCAGAGAUAGGCCCAAGUGAGAUUAGCUAGUUGGUGGGGUAAAGGCUCACCAAGGCGACGAUCUCUAGCUGUUCUGAGAGGAUGAUCAGCCACACUGGGACUGAGACACGGCCCAGACUCCUACGGGAGGCAGCAGUGGGGAAUAUUGCACAAUGGGGGAAACCCUGAUGCAGCCAUGCCGCGUGUGUGAAGAAGGCCUUCGGGUUGUAAAGCACUUUCAGUGGUGAGGAAGGUUGGUAGUUUAAUACGCUACCAAAUUGACGUUAGCCACAGAAGAAGCACCGGCUAACUCCGUGCCAGCAGCCGCGGUAAUACGGAGGGUGCGAGCGUUAAUCGGAAUUACUGGGCGUAAAGCGUACGUAGGCGGCUUAUUAAGCAAGAUGUGAAAGCCCCGGGCUCAACCUGGGAAUUGCAUUUUGAACUGGUAGGCUCGAGUUUUGAAGAGGGUGGUAGAAUUUCCAGUGUAGCGGUGAAAUGCGUAGAUAUUGGAAGGAAUACCAGUGGCGAAGGCGGCCACCUGGUCAAAAACUGACGCUGAGGUACGAAAGCGUGGGGAGCAAACAGGGAUUAGAUACCCUGGUAGUCCACGCCGUAAACGAUGUCAACUAGUUGUUCGUUUCAUAAACGAAGUGAGUAACGCAGCUAACGCACUAAGUUGACCGCCUGGGGAGUACGGCCGCAAGGUUAAAACUCAAAUGAAUUGACGGGGGCCCGCACAAGCGGUGGAGCAUGUGGUUUAAUUCGAUGCAACGCGAAGAACCUUACCAUCCCUUGACAUCCAGUGAAUUUUCUAGAGAUAGAUGAGUGCCUUCGGGAACACUGAGACAGGUGCUGCAUGGCUGUCGUCAGCUCGUGUUGUGAGAUGUUGGGUUAAGUCCCGCAACGAGCGCAACCCUUAUCCUUAGUUGCCAGCACGUAAAGGUGGGAACUCUAGGGAGACUGCCGGUGAUAAACCGGAGGAAGGUGGGGACGACGUCAAGUCAUCAUGGCCCUUACGGGAUGGGCUACACACGUGCUACAAUGGCGCAUACAAAGGGAAGCGAGCUAGCGAUAGUAAGCGGAUCUCAAAAAGUGCGUCGUAGUCCGGAUCGGAGUCUGCAACUCGACUCCGUGAAGUCGGAAUCGCUAGUAAUCGCGGAUCAGAAUGCCGCGGUGAAUACGUUCCCGGGCCUUGUACACACCGCCCGUCACACCAUGGGAGUGGGCUGCACCAGAAGUAGAUAGCUUAACCUUCGGGAGGGCGUUAC